GAAGGAAGAUAUCGACACGUGAACGCAACGGUAAUCAUUGUUGUUGACUUUACAAUGAUUCUCCUUGACACGUUAUAAUGUUGUUAUGAUUAUGAAAAUACACAACAGACAAAGGUUCAGCUCAAUGUACAAAGAAGUUUUGUUUUCUAAAAUGGAUAUGAAAAGAAAAGAAAUGAAAGGACGAUGUUCAAUAGUCUUCGGGUCAUUUGUUGUUGCUAGUGCAUUAUUGGUGAUGAACGUAACAACAUGACAAAAUCAACAGAAACGUCUUGUAGGUCAAAAUGAUUUAGGCAGAAUGCAAUGUCAUCUAUACUGUAAUUAUAAACUCAUGGCUGAAAUACAGAUGAUCGUAAUAAAGACGGAAAAAGCUAUUCGUGUUAUAUAAACGGGAAAAAAUUAGUCUGAGUAAAUUAGUAGUCAUAGGUACUACUCAUUGUGCUUCUUUUUAAAAUCAUUUCAAAGUGUUGAGUUGGUUGUAUGAAGCUUCUUGAAUAAGGAAAUUAACAGUGCAUGGUGCGGAGACAAAGCAUAACCAAUAAAAUUAAAACCGACAUAUACUCAACUCAAA